UACGUAGGGUGCGAGCGUUGUCCGGAAUUACUGGGCGUAAAGAGCUCGUAGGUGGUUUGUCGCGUUGUUCGUGAAAACUGGAGGCUCAACCUCUGGCGUGCGGGCGAUACGGGCAGACUUGAGUACUGCAGGGGAGACUGGAAUUCCUGGUGUAGCGGUGGAAUGCGCAGAUAUCGGGAGGAACACCGGUGGCGAAGGCGGUUCUCUGGGCCUUACCUGACGCUGAGGAGCGAAAGCGUGGGGAGCGAACAGG
rnacentral:rRNA from 1 species